rnacentral:rRNA from 1 species
CCUACGGGAUGCAGCAGUGAGGAAUGUUGGUCAAUGGACGAGAGUCUGAACCAGCCAAGUAGCGUGAAGGAUGACUGCCCUAUGGGUUGUAAACUUCUUUUAUAAAGGAAUAAAACGAGGCACGUGUGCCUUUUUGCAUGUACUUUAUGAAUAAGGAUCGGCUAACUCCGUGCCAGCCGCCGCGGUAAUACGGAGGAUCCGAGCGUUAUCCGGAUUUAUUGGGUUUAAAGGGAGCGUAGAUGGGUUGUUAAGUCAGUUGUGAAAGUUUGCGGCUCAACCGUAAAAUUGCAAUUGAUACUGGCAGUCUUGAGUACAGUUGAGGUAAGCGGAAUUCGUGGUGUAGCGGUGAAAUGCUUAGAUAUCACGAAGAACCCCGAUUGCGAAGGCAGCUUACUAAACUGUGACUGACAUUGAUGCUCGAAAGUGUGGGUAUCAAACAGGAUUAGAUACCCUUGUAGUC